AUACCAUAUAGUAAAAAUAAAAGUAAAGCAGCUGAAAUACUGCAUGUAGAACAGAUGAGAGCCUUGUAUAAGUUCAGGUUACCGAAUUUGGCGCGAAGAAAAAGUGUAUAGCAAAUGACUACCCAUAAUAGCCAAAUUAUUACUACCCAUUUUUCCCUUGAGUUGUACAAGCCGACCGCAGUUACCUUUACACAUUGUGCCAAGAAAUUUACAGUUACUUUAACUGCCUUGGCCCUUUUCAUAGAAGUCUAAUGAGUUAGUGACUGAAGGUAAGAUUAACCCCAUUGUCUCACUUACAAGUCAAGAAUAUUAAAGCCAAAGUGCAAACAAGACACCAAAAUCCAAAUAACGUCCAUUCCGCUGCACCAUAAUUUUUAAAGAAAGCGUCUUUAUACUUUAGAUAACAAACUGCUAGAGCAUUGAGUAGAACGAUUGGAGUGAAU